GACGAACGCUGGCGGCGUGCUUAACACAUGCAAGUCGAACGGAAAGGCCCUGCUUUUGUGGGGUGCUCGAGUGGCGAACGGGUGAGUAACACGUGAGUAACCUGCCCUUGACUUUGGGAUAACUUCAGGAAACUGGGGCUAAUACCGGAUAGGAGCUCCUGCUGCAUGGGGGGGGUUGGAAAGUUUCGGCGGUUGGGGAUGGACUCGCGGCUUAUCAGCUUGUUGGUGGGGUAGUGGCUUACCAAGGCUUUGACGGGUAGCCGGCCUGAGAGGGUGACCGGCCACAUUGGGACUGAGAUACGGCCCAGACUCCUACGGGAGGCAGCAGUGGGGAAUAUUGCACAAUGGGCGGAAGCCUGGUGCAGCAACGCCGCGUGCGGGAUGACGGCCUUCGGGUUGUAAACCGCUUUCGCCUGUGACGAAGCGUGAGUGACGGUAAUGGGUAAAGAAGCACCGGCUAACUACGUG
rnacentral:rRNA from 1 species